UUCUGGUUGAUCCCGCCAGACCUGACUGCUAUCGGAUUGAUACUAAGCCAUGCGAGUCUUUGUAGUAAUACAAGGCAGACGGCUCAGUAACACGUAGUCAACCUACCCUAUGGACGAGAAUAAUCUCGGGAAACUGAGCAUAAUUCUUGAUAGAUCAUAAUGCCUGGAAUGGUUUAUGGUUAAAAUGAUUCGUCGCCAUAGGAUGGGACUGCGGCCUAUCAGCUUGUUGGUGAGGUAAUGGCCCACCAAGGCGAUUACAGGUACGGGCUCUGAGAGGAGAAGCCCGGAGAUGGGUACUGAGACACGGACCCAGGCCCUAUGGGGCGCAGCAGGCGAGAAAACUUUGCAAUGUGCGAAAGCACGACAAGGUUAAUCCGAGUGAUUUCUGCUAAAGAAAUCUUUUGCCAGUCGUAAAACCGCUGGUGAAUAAGGGGUGGGCAAGUUCUGGUGUCAGCCGCCGCGGUAAAACCAGCACCUCAAGUGGUCAGGAUGAUUAUUGGGCCUAAAGCAUCCGUAGCCGGCUUUGUAAGUUUUCGGUUAAAUCCAUGUGCUCAACGCAUGGGCUGCCGAAAAUACUGCAUAGCUAGGGAGUGGAAGAGGUAGACGGUACUCAGUAGGUAGGGGUAAAAUCCUUUGAUCUAUUGAUGACCACCUGUGGCGAAGGCGGUCUACCAGAACACGUUCGACGGUGAGGGAUGAAAGCUGGGGGAGCAAACCGGAUUAGAUACCCGGGUAGUCCCAGCUGUAAACGAUGCAGACUCGAUGAUGCAUUGGCAUAAUAGCCAUUGCAGUGUCGCAGGGAAGCCGUUAAGUCUGCCGCCUGGGAAGUACGUACGCAAGUAUGAAACUUAAAGGAAUUGGCGGGGGAGCACCACAAGGGGUGAAGCCUGCGGUUCAAUUGG
rnacentral:rRNA from 1 species